rnacentral:tRNA from 1 species
GUGGUUGUAGCUCAGUUGGUUAGAGCGCCUGGUUGUGGCCCAGGAGGUCGCGGGUUCGAGUCUCGUCUACCACCCCA